UGGGUCUUUUUUUGUGGAUAUUUUGCAGAAGAGAGAUGGCUUUGAAAAGUGGGUGGGAUGCAACUGUGUUUGGUGGGGUGGAAAAGCUGUGUUAAGAAGAAAGGAGGAAGCUAGUUUUUGGAAGCUGUGAGGGUCUCGGGUUUUGCAGGAGAGAGAGAGCUGGGUGAGAGGAAAAAUGUAAUACUGAUACGGGCUGUGUCUUUCUCUGCUGCUGAUAUUUUGAGGCUUUUAGGUGUCUCUCUGCUGGGUUGGAAGGAGGCUCUCUCUUUUGGGGCAGCUGUGGAGGGUUCGGUUUUUCUUAGCGAGUAUUGAUGGAGGGUUUGGAGAUUUGUUCUUGGACAGCUGACUGUGUGGCUCUGGGGCGGAUGUAGGAAGUGCUUGGAGAUAUCUCUGGGAUUAGUGGGCUUCUUGGGCUGCAACCACUCCUCCACUUUUGAAACCCCUCCAAUUCUCUCCAUUCUGACAUUCUGCCUUUUCACUCUCGAGAACAAGAGAAGACUGAAGCUCUCUCCCCUUUUGUACUGCAUCAGGUGAUACCCUCUCUCUCACUCUUGUUCUCAUGAGUUGUUUCCCUUUAUUUUUAUCUUUACUAAAUCUAAAAAUCAAAAGGCUACUCACUUCUCUCACUCAGGCAUCAAGAAGCCCUUCUGCCACUCUCAAUCCUCGCAGUCCGUGGGGUGCUUUGUCUGGUCAAGGGCACCUAGAGUUGUUCUCUUACAUUAAAGGCCUCCCCUGCUUCCAAUCCAAUCAGUAGAUGUUUUCUUCAUCCUUGAUGAACUCAGGUUAAUACAAUGCCCUAUUCCAUUCAUAUUUCUUGGAGCAAAUACUUCACUUUUAUGUAGGUUUUUCAGACUUCAUUAGCAAAUGUGAGUCACCUAGGUACUAGGUAGUAAAAAUGAGAGUCGGGAGUUAUAGUGGAGGGAUAAAAGCGUUGCCUUUGUAUUGCCACAACACUUAUUGGUGAUCCAAAGAUGAUCAUUUUAGAUGAAUUAGUAUGUAGACUAAGACUUCUUCUUGGUGCAUGUUUCUAUAUUUUAUAUGCUUUAUAAUUUAUAUGAUUUUUAUUUUUAUUUUUAGACAAUUGGUAUGGAUCUAAUAACAAGAAGGCAUGUGUGGGGCAUAAUAGAGAAUGCAAAGAAAGGGUUGCUAUUGAGUGUGAUAUUAGGACAAUGACAUACCAUUUUUUUGCAUUGUCUAUUAUGUCCCACACAUGCCUCCUUGUUAUUGGAUCCAUACUAAUUGUCUAGAAAUAAAAAGAAACUCCAUAUGAAUUAUAAAACAAAUAAAUUAAAGAAACAUGAACCAAGGAAAGUCUCUAGUCUACAUACCAAUUAAUCUAAAAUGACAAACUUUGGAUCACCAAUAAGUGUUGUGGCAACACUAAGAUAGCGUUUCAUUCCUCCACUAUAACUCCCAACUCUCAUUUUUGCUACUUGGGUGAGUCUCACUUGUGCUAAUAAAUUCUGAGAAAUCUGCAAAGAAGUAAAAGCAUUUGACCCAAUAAAUAUGGAUAGAAUAGAGUCAUUGUAUUAACAAGAAUUCAUACCAAUGGUAGGCUUCAUUGCAUUGAAACCUCAAUUAGUUUGAAGUCUCGAUUUGGAUUUGGUUCUAUUGCCCAUGUGAGGUUCAUCGAAAGCACAAGCAGGAAUACUUGCCCCAAUGAGGAUGCAGUUACCAUGCCUUACAGGAAAGCCGUGAAGCAGUUCUUUAAAUAUGUAAGUCUAAUUAGUAGAGAUUGCUUAAACAUAUCCUUAGACUCCCAAAGUUUGGUUUCUGAUUUUUUUGAAUGUUUUUUUACAGCAUUUGGAUUAUAUGGGUCACGUCUUAUUGGUUAUGUAAUAAAGAGUGGUUGAUGUUGCACAAUUAUUAUUAAAUAGGUCAUGUUUAAAUUAA